rnacentral:rRNA from 1 species
CGGUUGAUCCUGCCGGACCUUACUGCUAUCGGGGUAAGACUAAGCCAUGCAAGUCGAGCGUUUCUCAAGCUAUGUUGAAAGGCGCGGCAUAAGGCUCCGUAACACGUAGUUAACCUACCCUCAGGAUGGGGAUAACCCCGGGAAACUGGGGCUAAUACCCAAUAAAUGAUUACGCCUGGAAUGGUUUAUCAUUGAAAAGGUGUUGAAAACAUGCUUUCAAAACCACCUGAGGAUGGGACUGCGUCCGAUCAGGUUGUUGGUGGGGUAACGGCCCACCAAGCCUAUGACCGGUACGGGCCCUGAGAGGGGGAGCCCGGAGAUGGAAACUGAGACAAGGUUCCAGGCCCUACGGGGCGCAGCAGGCGCGAAACCUCCACAAUGCGCGAAAGCGUGAUGGGGUUACCCCGAGUGCCGUCCGAAAAGGAUGGCUUUUCCCUGGUGUAAAAAACCAGGGGAAUAAAGGGGGGGCAAGACUGGUGUCAGCCGCCGCGGUAAUACCAGCCCCCUGAGUAGUAAGGACGAUUAUUAGGCUUAAAGCGUCCGUAGCCGGCUUAGUGAGUCUCUUGUGAAAUCCAAUGAUCCAAUCAUUGGACCGUAAGAGAUACUACUAAGCUAGAGGACGGGAGAAGUCGACGGUAUUCCAAGGGUAGGGGUGAAAUCCUAUAAUCCUUGGAGGACCACCAGUGGCGAAGGCGGUCGACUAGAACGUGCCUGACGGUGAGGGACGAAAGCUGGGGGAGCGAACCGGAUUAGAUACCCGGGUAGUCCCAGCUGUAAACGAUGCGGGCUAGGUGUAGGGGCAGCUACGAGCUGCCCCUGUGCCGCAGAGAAAUCGUUAAGCCCGCCGCCUGGGAAGUACGAUCGCAAGAUUGAAACUUAAAGGAAUUGGCGGGGGAGCAC